UUAGCUGUCAACAUAGGUGGCUCCAUCACUCUGCCACCCGCCAGAGAAUUACACGCAAAGGCGUAAAACUCAAAGGACUUGACGGUGUCCCAAAUCAACCUAGAGGAGCCUGUCCUAUAAUCGAUACCCCACGAUCCACCCUACCGCCCCUUGCACUCCAGCCUAUAUACCGCCGUCGCCAACCCACCUAAUGAUAGCUAAACAGUGGGUAUAAUAGCAACCGCCGCUAAUACGUCAGGUCAAGGUGUAGCUGAUGGGGCGGACAGAGAUGGGCUACAUUUUCUAGUCCACUAGACCACACCACAGACCACAUGAAACAUGGGUCCAAAGGCGGAUUUAGUAGUAAGUUUUGGCAAGAUAUGCCCAGCUGAAACUCGCUCU
rnacentral:rRNA from 1 species